rnacentral:lncRNA from 1 species
UCGGUUUUCACAGGCUCACCGACUAGAACCACCCGAUUGUUUUUCCGGGAUCACAAUCGAACCCUUACAUGUUGGUUUUACCCUCGGCUCACCAACCAACCUUAACACCCUUGAUUCAAUCCCCUGAUUGAAUCAAGUAAGAAAAGCAGUUUGAGAAGAGUACAAGGAUAGCUUCUUGAAAAGCAAAUAUAAACAAUAUGAAUAAAGAAGAGUUAGAAGCCCUCAAACAGAUUUUUG